rnacentral:rRNA from 1 species
UUAUGGCCAUAUCACAUUGAAGCACUGGUUCUUGUACGAUUAACAAAGUUAAGCAAUGUUGAGACCAGUCAGUACCUAGACGGGUGACUACUUGGGAAUACCAGUUGCUGUAAG